ACAACCCAAAUUCCCAUCUACAGAAAACUGGAUGGACAAAUUGUGAUGUAUUCGAACAUGGGGUAUCAUGGGAGCCGAAACAGAUGAACUCCAACGCACGACAGCACAGGUGAUCUUCAGGAAAUAAUAAACUGAAUGUCCACGUCCAUCGGACGCUCCUUCCCCGUCCCCUUCCCCAGCCUCUGACAGCCACCAUCCACCGUCCUUCUCCGCGGAUCUGCCUCCUCUAGGAGCCUCCUGAAUCAAGUGCGGUGAGGUAUUCGAAGGAUGCUCUUUGGAUGAAGUCUUCUCUGCAGGUCUUUCCCCCCUUCUCUGCAUGCAGUGGCGGUGGGGGGAG